rnacentral:lncRNA from 1 species
GCUAACCUUCAGCCUGCUGUGCAUUCCUGUUAGAAGUCAUAGCUACUGUCAUUUGUGCUGGUGGAACUAGGAAAGCAGUGUUCCUCUCAAGAUAUUAUGGGGUCCCAGGGAGAUGCAGUGUCCAGGGAAGCAGAGGCAGCAGCACAGCUGCAGGAAGAAGUCAGGGUGGAAUCCACACAGAGCGCAUUCCCAGGCUGGGAGCUACCAGAGUAUUUGACCUUGGGCACAGCUGGGGUGGCCCCGAUGGCGCUGCUGUCUGCUGAUGGUCUCCACAGCUUCCCCAGCGAGGCCUUCCUGGAAGGAGUGCUGAGCAGCAAAGCUCUGUGGUCACCACUCAGGACAAAGGGGAACCAGCUGAACAGAGCCUUUCAUGUGACAACAAAAAACGACCUGGCUCAAACAUCACGACAGGCAUCUGUGGAGCCUGGGAAAUGACCUUUCUCAUGGGGAGAACACAGAACACACAAAGCUUUCUCUUAAAAGUCUACAAAAUUAUAAUCUGAUAACAACAGAACGUUUUGGUAUUUUGAGUAAUAGGUGUCACAUCGGAAUUGAUAUUUGCCAAAUUUGGCAUGAUAAUUGAAUGCUUUUUGCUUAUUUAUAUUUCAUAUUUUAGUUGUUUUCUAAUAACCAAAAACAUUUGUGUAUUUUUAAUAAUAGUAGAGGUAAAUGAAAUUUUACAUGUCAGUAAAAAAACUGAAAGAUGAUGCUUGUAAUUUCAAGUCGAUUAAAGAAAAUUAUUAAUAAAACAAUAAAAUACAAAUUAUACAUUUUAUAUUGUGAUACUUAAAGUAGAUGACCUGGUUUAUCCCUGAAGAGAAAGCAUGGAUGCAUAAACCAGACCAUAUUGUAAAUAUUUCAAAUUCAUUGGUAAACAUUGUUUUAAGAAGGUGAUUAGCAAAUAUUGUUUCAAGAAGGUGAUUAAGAAGGUGAUGCAAAAUUUGGAGUACUUUCUGUUUUGUAUUUUUCGUGACUAUUUGUGAGCACUUGGUGCUUAAGACACACUCAAAGAGGUACUGACAAUUUAUCAUAUUCUAAAGCAAUAAAACAGGUUGAAAAUAUCUAAUCAGCUUCCUGGCUAAUCAAGUAAAUGUUACAGAAAUGGGUCAAUAAGACGGUUAGAAAACCCAG